AGAGUUUGAUCAUGGCUCAGGAUGAACGCUAGCUACAGGCUUAACACAUGCAAGUCGAGGGGCAGCAUGUUGGUUGCUUGCAACCAAUGAUGGCGACCGGCGCACGGGUGAGUAACGCGUAUCCAACCUACCCUUGUCCAUCGGAUAACCCGUCGAAAGGCGGCCUAACACGAUAUGCGGUUCACAGCAGGCAUCUAAGGUGAACGAAAUGUGAAGGAGAAGGAUGGGGAUGCGUCUGAUUAGCUUGGUUGGCGGGGUAACGGCCACCAAGGCGACGAUCGAGUAGGGGUUCUGAGAGGAAGGUCCCCCANAUUGGAACUGAGACACGGUCCAAACGUCCUACGGGAGGCA
rnacentral:rRNA from 1 species